UGCCCUCACUCCCAGAGGGCUCCUCCUGGAGGGGACAGGGAGGCCACCCCACUCAUGGGUUUCUCUCCUGGGGCAUAGGGAGAGGUCCCUCAGCCUGCCCAGGGAAGCUCAGGACACUGCCAUUGCUCACCAAGCAGAAUCCAUUCAGUUUCCUGAAGUGUGCUUCUGAUGAGCUAUCCGUGAAGACACCAACUCAACACACUCAGCACCCACCUGACGGGUAGUGAGUUCCUUGUCCUGCAGGCUCCUUUGAUCUGGGGCUGUGCCGUCUCAUCAGAAGACUUUAAGGCACGAGGUGAGCACAGAGUGCCUGCAAUACCGCGCUCUGCUGGGUGUGGCCCCUGCACGGCCAACCCUCCUGCGGUCAGGCCCACGCCUGCAGCCCGCUCAUCAUCCUGACGUCCAGAAGAGACCCCAUCAAUCACAACACCUCACUGGCUAAUGUGACUUCCCUCAGCCGCACUCCACGCAGGAGGGCGCCCCGCUGCCCUGCCCUGGGUGGGUGAAGUUGGGGACAGCGGCCUACACCCCGCAGACCCACAGCAGGGUUUCCAGGCCCCAGGGCCAGGACCCCCAGGGCUUCUGUCUGCGGUGGGGUCACCACGGCUGAGCCGCAAGGUCGCCUCCAGGAAGCUGUCGGGGCCCAGGGGCCAGGGGCCAGGGGCCACGUGCACUCUGCCUGGAAGGCUGCCAAAUCCAAAUCCCA